UUUCCGUAGGUGAACCUGCGGAAGGAUCAAUCCAAAUAUUAUAACUAAUAUACAUUUGGUGUAUUACUAUGAUAUUACCAAUCCGAAUGGUCUUGAUGUUUCUCUUUCGAGAGAGAUGGAUAGAUCGUGGUUACUGUCUAAACUGUGCGUUUUAGUAACCAAAUUCUUUUUAGCCUUUUGAAAUAAAUAAAAAUCUAUACACAACUAUUAGUGGUGGAUCACUUGGCUCGCAGGUCGAUGAAGAACGCAGC
rnacentral:misc_RNA from 1 species